UUCCUCGUGGUCCAGUGGCUAAGACUCUGCACUUCCAAUGCAGGGGGUCCAGGUUCAAUCCCUCAUCAGGAAA
rnacentral:tRNA from 1 species